UAAAUCUUUAAAUAAGAAGAUAGUUGGAUUUUGAUAUCUGUAUAUCCAUCCAGUCUGUUGUGAUAAUACGUCACGUAGCCUCUGGAAAAAGUACACUUAUGGAAAGAGAGUGAAAAAGACUAGUGACACCUUACUAUUGUUAGGAAGAUAGUUUGGGCCUCAUAGGUACCCAAAAAGGCUCUCAGAGAACCCUAGGGGUCCCACACUUUGAGAACUGCUGAGCCCGUGCAUGGUAAAGGUUUUGGAUAGCCCAUUUGAUUCUGAAAUCUCCGUUCUUUUUUAUUUCAUCACAACUUGCUCCUCACUGAGGGCAAACAGAUGAUGGAUGGUUUCUGAAUGGGAUAAUGAGACUGAGUAGCUCCGUGAAAGCCUUUAUUUCCAGGGAAGGGAGAUGUCCUUUUGUGCAAACAUCAAAGAUCAAUAGCUUUUUAAAAGCAAAUGUUGACAGUGUCUUCCUUCCUCUCUUUCCUGCCCCCCCUUUCCUGUCCUUCCACUCUUCUCUCUUCCCUUCCUCCUUUCAUUCUGGCAAAAUAACAUUGACAUUAAAAACUGCUUUGUUUUUAACGUGGGAGGAAAACCCCUGUCUCAGGUUCAGAUGGUUCUGCACAUGUUUCAGUUCCUAGAACUGACAGCCCUGGCCUCCCACCUUGGCCAGAUGGAGUGUCUGUCCUACUGGGGGCAGGGAAAGGGCCACAGAGUGCUAGUUCAGGGUCACCCAGUCAACUAAUAGCUGGCCCCCAGGCAUUCUGCUCCUAAUUACUCUGUUUUUUUUUUUUUUUUGGUAGGGGUUUCACCUUGUUUUAGCAGACUACUGUUAUUUGUAUGUCAGCUUGUUGUGUUUUCCUAGAGAAACAUCCCUCAAAGCUCUCAUUCCUUGAAGAAGGCAGGAGUGGAGACCUCUCAGGCAGAGCACUGGCCACUCAGAGCUGUCAUCUAUACUCAUCUCAGAUUCCAUGUACUCGGAGAAGCUAUCCAAUCCAACCCAAUCCAACACAGUCCCUGCAGCCAGUCUCCUUUGAAAUCCGACUCUGAUGGAAUGUUUGCUGCCAUUGCUAAUGAAAUUCAGAGAAGGACCAUUGGUUUUUAACUCCGCUUGGGAAUUUUGAUGCAAUAGAUGUUUGCACAUUGCUGUCAGAACAAGAAACCUUAUAAUCACGGCGUUAUUUUACAAGAGUCAAUGGACUACAAAGAAGAAUUAUGUUCAGACCCGUCAUUCACUUAAAGGAAGAGGAUGGUUGCAAGUCAGCAACAGUAACAGAAAUUAAAUCGGUGGCUGGAAUAUGCUUUCCCAGUGAGAUGAAGCAAACAUCUUACUGAGCCAUGGACUCUUACCUUACAGCAAAACAGUUGCCUGUUCUUUUCAUUCCUCAUUAUCGCAAAACCCUCAUAUAGACUAACCCCAUUUAUCUAAAUUAUGAUUAUGUUUUCAAAGGCUUGUAGGAACUAGUUGCAAUCCAUGCAAACUCAUCAUCUUACAAAUAUUAACUGGUCCAUCGGUCACUGAAAAGGGCAAGAAGAUCAGAGGUGGGGAUAGCACUGUAUGUAGAUGGCCAAAUCAUGGUAGUAAUCGGGGCAGACGGUUCCCUUAGCUUCCAGGUGACUUGCUGGUGUAAAUGUCUAUGUUGUCAGCAGGACCGACAGUUGAAAAAUAUGAAAGAAACCACACACUGGAGCCAGUGUUUUUCUUGGAACUACUAUUUAAAGAUGCACCAACCUGGAAGCCCAACAUAGUCCCAAGUAGACUAACAUGUGGCUUACAAAGAAUUUUCAAACGAGGAACUCUCAUCCCCCAGAAGAGCAACCUGCAUGCAGCUAAUAUUUAAUCCUCCAUGUUCCAGAUGGUAAAACGUCAUCUGUGGCCAAUGAAACUGUAUUACUGACCAUGUGAAUUCCCUGGUGGGCUGCUUCUCCCAUUUUUGCUCCACAGUGGUUUCACUCAACAAGGACCACCAGUAUCCUUCUCACUGCUCUGAGUCCAUGCUGAUCCUUACCAGCCUUCCACUGCAUGUGCAUGUGACCAGACGUCCCCUCUGCCCCCCACCCUGCUUCUGACUGAGGCCAUGUGCAGUGCAGAAGGGGCUGGAGCUCAGAGCCAUACCUGGGGAAAGUCCUGCUUACCGCUGCUGUCUGACCUCUGGCAAGUCACCACUAAGAUCCAUGAGCCUUAGUUUCCUCAUCUGUAAAAUGGGACUGUUCUAAGGACUGAGUAUUGAACUGAGUGCCGACUUUAAUUUAAUCAAGUCAUUGAUUAUUUCAUGUACUCAGCCCACAAUAAAGCACUGAACAGCUCCUGUUCCCUAUAUUCUAAGAUAUUGGAUGUGUCUGCUUUUGCUUUCUGCUUCAAUUCUGUCUUUUGUAUCUUCUUCAAAACCAUUUCAGUGACCCAUUCCUGCUGGCUUUGGGGUCCCGCCAUCCUUAACUUUCUCUGUCCUCCUCCCUGGGCUACCAGGUGCUGUGUGAUAAUAUAUGGCCUCGCCCAGCUGGUUAUUUUCCUAGUCUUGGCUGUUUAUUUUCUUGCUAGACCGUCAGCACACACGGAGCCAUAAAUGAUGUUUUCUGAGGAUCUAUCUCCCCCAGUGCCACCACAUUAUCUGUGUAGAUGGCACAUCAACCUACCUACCUACUUUGAACUUUCCCCUUUGGUGAAGCAAUACCUGGUUCUCAAUACUUAAACACCCUAAAUCAUUAGUAACUCUUUUUAUACAUGGCAUAUGCUUAUCUUUCUUUUCUGAGCCUUCCUCUUUUCGUUUUCACUGGGUCACGUCACCAUGUCAAUGAUCUACCAAAUAAGCGAUCUCUGGUCAUUUUCCACUUGUCCUUUCUUGAUCAUAAUUUGGAUGACUGCCAGAGCUUGUGUGGCCCCCUCCCCACCGGCUCUCCAGCCCCCCUGGCCUGUGGAA